GGAGAGAUGGCAGAGUGGUCGAAUGCGCACUACUCGAAAUCGUGUAGGGGCCUAAUCCGUCCCUCCUGGGUUCAAAUCCCAGUCUCUCCGCCA
rnacentral:tRNA from 1 species